GACGAACGCUGGCGGCGUGCUUAACACAUGCAAGUCGAACGGAAAGGCCCUGCUUUUGUGGGGUGCUCGAGUGGCGAACGGGUGAGUAACACGUGAGUAACCUGCCCUUGACUUUGGGAUAACUUCAGGAAACUGGGGCUAAUACCGGAUAGGAGCUCCUGCUGCAUGGUGGGGGUUGGAAAGUUUCGGCGGUUGGGGAUGGACUCGCGGCUUAUCAGCUUGUUGGUGGGGUAGUGGCUUACCAAGGCUUUGACGGGUAGCCGGCCUGAGAGGGUGACCGGAGAAAGGGGGAGGGGAACGGGGACAGGAGGGUGAGGGGGGCAGGAGGGGGGGAUGGGGGGAAAAGGGGGCGAGGCUGGAGGAAGCAAGCCGGGGGCGGGGAGAAGGGAAUGGGGGUGUAAAGGGGAUGGAGCAGGGAAGAAGCAGGGGGUGACGGUAAGGGGUAAAGAAGCACAGGAUAAAUACGUG
rnacentral:rRNA from 1 species